CCUUUGCAAUUUUCUGAAGCAGUUGUGGAAGUCUUCUCUUGAUUAUACAGGGUGUGAAUGCUGCUAUGAGUGGCAUUCAAGGUAAGGCAGGCUCAUAAAUACAUUGUGUGUUUCAUCCACCUUACUCAUUGGAUGUGAUUCCUAGUUCUUCCCCAAAGUCAAAAUGUUCAUGAAAGGUAAACAAUUUGAAUCAAUUCAGGACAUCAAGGCAGCCAUGAGAGUGCAACUGAAGACAAAAUAGGAUUUCCAGAAUUGCUGCAGAAAGUGGCAAGAAUGAUGGUUUUGGCCAAUCUUACGGUUAUAAAGUCAUCUUAAAACAAGAUUAAACCAGCCAAACAAACAAAAAACCAAAAAACAUAAACCAGCCUCUCUGGGUCCUGGAAUUGAGACAUCUGUAAAACAACUUAGCAAAGAAAAAAAGCAGCAGAGCCACAGGAAACAAGAAAGAGCUAACAGGGAAACUAUAAACCACAGAAAAACUGAAAACAACACAAAAGCAGUCUGGAAUGCUAAUCCCUGCUCCUGGAGAAGUGAUCCUGUCUCUGCAAAUACAAAGUAAGCCUGGAGAAGGUCACAGGAUAAACACUGGACUGGCAGCACUGGGCCCCCCAAAAGCCCACAGUACCACAAGCUACAAAUACAGAAUGGGGUUUUACUCUGAAAAGUGACUUCUUCCACAUGGCAGGUUAGAGUUGGAGAAGACACAGCAUCCACCAGACUUGGGAGUGAUAUCAUCAGAAGCCAUUUGGGGGAGAGGUUUAUUGCUUAAGAAUGAGCUGCUCCAGAAAUCUGAAAUCACAGGACAACUUCACUUCAGGGUCUCUGUGGGUGGGAGACAACCACAAAAGAACCGUGGAGAAGGGGUAGGCUAGUUGCAGAUCCUUGGAGAAGCUUAUGCAGCAGUGUGCUCAGGUUGUGAGAGAACUCUAUGCUGAGAAGCCCAGCCAGCUGUGUGGUCUAAGUGGGCUGGGUCUGAAAGUGCUCGAUUAAGUCCAGCAGACUGCUUUAUCCACCUCGCUACCUACUUGUAGCACACAGCUCAAUGGUCUGUUUGAUUUUCCCAUAUGCCAAUAUGAUCAGAUUCACCUCAGCUUGAACAGUUGCCACAUCCUGGCAUGUACAGACAAAGGGCCUCUGGGGCAUGGGAGACACCUCAUGAACUCACAGACCGUAUCACCAAUUGGAGACAGCAGUGAGUUGGGGCACACAGAAGGGCACAAACACUAAGAGCCACAGGAGUGAAUCCAGCCCAGAGGCAGACAACACACUAUUGACCAUGCCCAGCGGGAAAGGUGGGGCAUGACUCAGUAUUCAUGCAGCACAAGUAGGCAUAGAAACAAAACAGGGCCUCACUGUAACUCACCCCCUGCCCCCCAUAUCUAGUGGAUUCUAAUACUACAGGACCCAGAAAGGAUCCACUCUCCCAAACAUGUUGUAUUGAGAAAUUUUUUGGACUCAUUUCUCUUUUUAUUUUUUUUGGUUUUGGUUUCUUUUAUCUUUUGUUCUUUAUUUUUAUUCUUCUUUCUUUACUUUUACCUAAUUCUAUUAAUUUUAUCUUUAAUCAGGUUUUAC
ensembl:lncRNA